rnacentral:lncRNA from 1 species
AAAAAAUUUGUAUUCAAAUAUUAUUGUUCUUUACUUAUUUCUCAAGUCUAUACAUACAUAAAAAAAUAAUUAAAUAAAAACUAAAAUUAAAAUAAUUGGGAAGAAAAAUGAAUUAAUAUAAUGAAAAUUUGACAUUAGUAAAAUAAUCGCAAAGAAUAAAAAAAAAUGUUGGAUGUAUAGUGAAAUGUCUGGUUCAGACUUUUAUGUUCCCCUCC